CGUUCUGUGGCUUAGUUGGUUAAAGCGCCGGACUAUCGAUACGAAUUAGAUAGGGUUCGAAUCCCAACAAAACAA
rnacentral:tRNA from 1 species